rnacentral:rRNA from 1 species
GAUGAACGCUAGCUACAGGCUUAACACAUGCAAGUCGAGGGACCGGCGCACGGGUGAGUAACACGUAUCCAACCUGCCCUUUACCCGGGGAUAGCCUUUCGAAAGAAAGAUUAAUACCCGAUAUAAAGGAUGGGGAUGCGUUCCAUUAGGUUGUUGGUGAGGUAACGGCUCGCCAAGCCUUCGAUGGAUAGGGGUGCGGAGAGGAAGGUCCCCCACAUUGGAGAUGAGACCCGGACCACACUCUGACGGGAGGCAGAAGUAAGGAAUAUUGGGCAAUGGGCGCUAGCCUGAACCAGCCAAGUAGCGUGAAGGAUGAAGGGGUAUGGGUCGUAUACUUUUUUUAUAUAAGAAUAUGUAUUAUAUGAAUAAGGAACGGCUAACUCCGUGCCAGCCGCCGCGGUAAUAC